rnacentral:rRNA from 1 species
AGUGAACGCUGGCGGUAGGCCUAACACAUGCAAGUCGAACGGCAGCACAGUAAGAGCUUGCUCUUACGGGUGGCGAGUGGCGGACGGGUGAGGAAUACAUCGGAAUCUACUUUUUCGUGGGGGAUAACGUAGGGAAAUUUACGCUAAUACCGCAUACGACCUACGGGUGGAAGCAGGGGAUCUUCGGACCUUGCGCGAUUGAAUGAGCCGAUGUCGGAUUAGCUAGUUGGCGGGGUAAAGGCCCACCAAGGCGACGAUCCGUAGCGGGUCUGAGAGGAUGAUCAGCCACACUGGAACUGAGACACGGUCCCGACUCCUACGGGAGGCAGCAGUGGGGAAUAUUGGACAGUGGGCGCAAGCCUGAUCCAGCCAUACCGCGUGGGUGACGAAGGCCUUCGGGUUGUAAAGACCUUUUGUUGGGAGAGAAAAGCAGCAGGUUAAUACCACGCUGUUCUGACGGUACCCAAAGAAUAAGCACCGGCUAACUUCGUG